CCCAUGCAUGGAACGCCAGGAGCAGAGCACCCAAAUGCUCCAUCAUGAGGAGAUCCAACACGACAACAUGAAAACAAUGUUUAAAGGCUUCCAGAGUGACAGCACCAUGCACUGUACUAAUAAUACAAUAUCUCUAUGAACUAUAUAUAUAUAUAUAUAUAUCAGCACCAACACACCGCACGGAGGACAUGCAGGAAGAGUUUGAUUCACAUUACAUCGUUCAUUCAAGGAUGUGUAAUCUGUCUUCGACCAGACGGAGCUCCAGCAGGUGCCGCUUUGCAGUCUGGAGGCCGCUGCAAACCUAGGGCU